rnacentral:sRNA from 1 species
UUGACAGCCAUGGAGAGUGAAGUCCUGUUUAUCCACAGAACAGGUACAAUGUUGCAGAAUCAUUAUUAUCUUCUCCACACUAUCCUUACGACGAUAAACCCAGAAGGGACCCUCUAUCAACGUGGGAGUAUAGAUCAGUCUCCGUAGCCCAUCCAAACCCUGACAUCU